GAUGAAGAACGUAGUGAAAUGCGAUAACUAGUGUGAAUUGCAGAAUUCCGUGAAUCAUCGAGUCUUUGAACGCACAUUGCGCCCCCUGGUAUUCCGGGGGGCAUGCCUGUCCGAGCGUCAUUGCUGCCCAUCAAGCACGGCUUGUGUGUUGGGUCGUCGUCCCCUCUCCGGGGGGGACGGGCCCCAAAGGCAGCGGCGGCACCGCGUCCGAUCCUCGAGCGUAUGGGGCUUUGUCACCCGCUCUGUAGGCCCGGCCGGCGCUUGCCGAACGCAAAUCAAUCUUUUUCCAGGUUGACCUCGGAUCAGGUAGGGAUACCCGCUGAACUUAAGCAUAUCAAUAAGCGAGGA
rnacentral:misc_RNA from 1 species